UGGAUUUAGCGGCGGACGGGUGAGUAACACGUAGGCAACCUGCCCCUUAGACUGGGAUAACUACCGGAAACGGUAGCUAAUACCGGAUAAUUUCUUUUUUCACCUGAAAGAAGAAUGAAAGAUGGAGCAAUCUAUCACUAAAGGAUGGGCCUGCGGCGCAUUAGCUAGUUGGUGAGGUAACGGCUCACCAAGGCGACGAUGCGUAGCCGACCUGAGAGGGUGAACGGCCACACUGGGACUGAGACACGGCCCAGACUCCUACGGGAGGCAGCAGUAGGGAAUCUUCCGCAAUGGGCGAAAGCCUGACGGAGCAAUGCCGCGUGAGUGAUGAAGGUUUUCGGAUCGUAAAGCUCUGUUGCCAGGGAAGAAUGUCUCAUAGAGUAACUGCUAUGAGAGUGACGGUACCUGAGAAGAAAGCCCCGGCUAACUACGUGCCAGCAGCCGCGGUAAUACGUAGGGGGCAAGCGUUGUCCGGAAUUAUUGGGCGUAAAGCGCGCGCAGGCGGCUAUUUAAGUCUGGUGUUUAAACCUUGGGCUCAACCUGAGGUCGCACUGGAAACUGGGUGGCUUGAGUACAGAAGAGGAAAGUGGAAUUCCACGUGUAGCGGUGAAAUGCGUAGAUAUGUGGAGGAACACCAGUGGCGAAGGCGACUUUCUGGGCUGUAACUGACGCUGAGGCGCGAAAGCGUGGGGAGCAAACAGGAUUAGAUACCCUGGUAGUCCACGCCGUAAACGAUGAGU
rnacentral:rRNA from 1 species